AACGUAGGACGCAAGCGUUAUCCGGAGUUACUGGGCGUAAAGGGCGUGUAGGCGGCGCUUCAAGUUCGUCGUGAAAGACCCCGGCUAAACCGGGGGCGGUCGAGGGAGACUGAAGCGCUGGAGGACGGUAGAGGGACAGGGAAUUCCGGGUGUAGUGGUGAAAUGCGUAGAGAUCCGGAGGAACACCAGUGGCGAAGGCGCUGUCCUGGGCCGUUACUGACGCUGAGACGCGAAAGCAUGGGGAGCGAACGGG
rnacentral:rRNA from 1 species